AAACAUUGACACAUACACAUUGACAAAUACACAUUGACACAUACACAUUUGUGUCAAUGUGUAUGUGUCAAUGUGUAUGUGUCAAUGUGUAUGUGUCAAU
rnacentral:pre_miRNA from 1 species